UACAUGCAAGUCGAACGAACUCUGGUAUUGAUUGGUGCUUGCAUCAUGAUUUACAUUUGAGUGAGUGGCGAACUGGUGAGUAACACGUGGGAAACCUGCCCAGAAGCGGGGGAUAACACCUGGAAACAGAUGCUAAUACCGCAUAACAACUUGGACCGCAUGGUCCGAGUUUGAAAGAUGGCUUCGGCUAUCACUUUUGGAUGGUCCCGCGGCGUAUUAGCUAGAUGGUGGGGUAACGGCUCACCAUGGCAAUGAUACGUAGCCGACCUGAGAGGGUAAUCGGCCACAUUGGGACUGAGACACGGCCCAAACUCCUACGGGAGGCAGCAGUAGGGAAUCUUCCACAAUGGACGAAAGUCUGAUGGAGCAACGCCGCGUGAGUGAAGAAGGGUUUCGGCUCGUAAAACUCUGUUGUUAAAGAAGAACAUAUCUGAGAGUAACUGUUCAGGUAUUGACGGUAUUUAACCAGAAAGCCACGGCUAACUACGUGCCAGCAGCCGCGGUAAUACGUAGGUGGCAAGCGUUGUCCGGAUUUAUUGGGCGUAAAGCGAGCGCAGGCGGUUUUUUAAGUCUGAUGUGAAAGCCUUCGGCUCAACCGAAGAAGUGCAUCGGAAACUGGGAAACUUGAGUGCAGAAGAGGACAGUGGAACUCCAUGUGUAGCGGUGAAAUGCGUAGAUAUAUGGAAGAACACCAGUGGCGAAGGCGGCUGUCUGGUCUGUAACUGACGCUGAGGCUCGAAAGUAUGGGUAGCAAACAGGAUUAGAUACCCUGGUAGUCCAUACCGUAAACGAUGAAUGCUAAGUGUUGGAGGGUUUCCGCCCUUCAGUGCUGCAGCUAACGCAUUAAGCAUUCCGCCUGGGGAGUACGGCCGCAAGGCUGAAACUCAAAGGAAUUGACGGGGGCCCGCACAAGCGGUGGAGCAUGUGGUUUAAUUCGAAGCUACGCGAAGAACCUUACCAGGUCUUGACAUACUAUGCAAAUCUAAGAGAUUAGACGUUCCCUUCGGGGACAUGGAUACAGGUGGUGCAUGGUUGUCGUCAGCUCGUGUCGUGAGAUGUUGGGUUAAGUCCCGCAACGAGCGCAACCCUUAUUAUCAGUUGCCAGCAUUAAGUUGGGCACUCUGGUGAGACUGCCGGUGACAAACCGGAGGAAGGUGGGGAUGACGUCAAAUCAUCAUGCCCCUUAUGACCUGGGCUACACACGUGCUACAAUGGAUGGUACAACGAGUUGCGAACUCGCGAGAGUAAGCUAAUCUCUUAAAGCCAUUCUCAGUUCGGAUUGUAGGCUGCAACUCGCCUACAUGAAGUCGGAAUCGCUAGUAAUCGCGGAUCAGCAUGCCGCGGUGAAUACGUUCCCGGGCCUUGUACACACCGCCCGUCACACCAUGAGAGUUUGUAACACCCAAAGUCGGUGGGGUAACCUUUUAGGAACCAGCCGCCUAA
rnacentral:rRNA from 2 species